GAUGAACGCUGGCGGCGUGCCUAAUACAUGCAAGUCGAGCGAACAGACGAGGAGCUUGCUCCUCUGACGUUAGCGGCGGACGGGUGAGUAACACGUGGAUAACCUACCUAUAAGACUGGGAUAACUUCGGGAAACCGGAGCUAAUACCGGAUAAUAUAUUGAACCGCAUGGUUCAAUAGUGAAAGACGGUUUUGCUGUCACUUAUAGAUGGAUCCGCGCCGCAUUAGCUAGUUGGUAAGGUAACGGCUUACCAAGGCAACGAUGCGUAGCCGACCUGAGAGGGUGAUCGGCCACACUGCAACGGAGACACGGUCCAGACUCCUACGGGAGGCAGCAGUAGGGAAUCUUCCGCAAUGGGCGAAAGCCUGACGGAGCAACGUCUCGUGAGUGAUGAAGGUCUUCGGAUCGUAAAACUCUGUUAUUAGGGAAGAACAAAUGUGUAAGUAACUAUGCACGUCUUGACGGUACCUAAUCAGAAAGCCACGGCUAACUACGUG
rnacentral:rRNA from 1 species